rnacentral:rRNA from 1 species
AACAGGAUUAGAUACCCUGGUAGUCCACGCCGUAAACGAUGUCGACUAGCCGUUGGGCUCCUUGAGAGCUUUGUGGCGCAGUUAACGCGAUAAGUCGACCGCCUGGGGAGUACGGCCGCAAGGUUAAAACUCAAAUGAAUUGACGGGGGCCCGCACAAGCGGUGGAGCAUGUGGUUUAAUUCGAUGCAACGCGAAGAACCUUACCUACCCUUGACAUCGUGCGAACUUUCCAGAGAUGGAUUGGUGCCUUCGGGAGCGCACAGACAGGUGCUGCAUGGCUGUCGUCAGCUCGCGUUGUGAAAUGUUGGGUUAAGUCCCGUAACGAGCGCAACCCUUGUCCUUAUUUGCCAGCGAGUCAUGUCGGGAACUCUAAGGAGACUGCCGGUGACAAACCGGAGGAAGGUGGGGACGACGUCAAGUCAUCAUGGCCCUUACGGGUAGGGCUACACACGUGCUACAAUGGCCGGUACAAAGGGUUGCGAAGCCGCGAGGUGGAGCUAAUCCCGAAAAGCUGGUCUCAGUCCGGAUCGGAGUCUGCAACUCGACUCCGUGAAGUCGGAAUCGCUAGUAAUCGUGAAUCAGAAUGUCACGGUGAAUACGUUCCCGGGCCUUGUACACACCGCCCGUCACACCAUGGGAGUGGACUGCACCAGAAGUGGUUAGCCUAACUUCGGAGGGCGAUCACCACGGUGUGGUUCAUGACUGGGGUGAAGUCGUAACAAGGUAACC